AGGGGAUACCUUAGUACGGCGAGUGAGCGGUAAAAGCUCAAAUUUGAAAUCUGGUACUUUCAGUGCCCGAGUUGUAAUUUGUAGAAUUUGUCUUUGAUUAGGUCCUUGUCUAUGUUCCUUGGAACAGGACGUCAUAGAGGGUGAGAAUCCCGUUUGGCGAGGAUACCUUUUCUCUGUAAGACUUUUUCGAAGAGUCGAGUUGUUUGGGAAUGCAGCUCAAAGUGGGUGGUAAAUUCCAUCUAAAGCUAAAUAUUGGCGAGAGACCGAUAGCGAACAAGUACAGUGAUGGAAAGAUGAAAAGAACUUUGAAAAGAGAGUGAAAAAGUACGUGAAAUUGUUGAAAGGGAAGGGCAUUUGAUCAGACAUGGUGUUUUUUGCAUGCACUCGCCUCUCGUGGGCUUGGGCCUCUCAAAAAUUUCACUGGGCCAACAUCAAUUCUGGCAGCAGGAUAAAUCAUUAAGAAUGUAGCUACUUCGGUAGUGUUAUAGCUUUUUGGAAUACUGUUAGCCGGGAUUGAGGACUGCGCUUCGGCAAGGAUGUUGGCAUAAUGGUUAAAUGCCGCCCGUCUUGAACCACGGACCA
rnacentral:rRNA from 1 species